UACGUAGGGUGCAAGCGUUGUCCGGAUUCAUUGGGCGUAAAGAGCUCGUAGGCGGCUUGCUAAGUCAGGUGUGAAACCUCCAGGCUCAACCUGGAGCCGCCACCUGAUACUGGUAUGGCUCGAGUCCGGUAGGGGACCACGGAAUUCCUGGUGUAGCGGUGAAAUGCGCAGAUAUCAGGAGGAACACCGGUGGCGAAAGCGUUCUGCUAGACCUGUACUGACACUGAGGGACGAAAGCUAGGGGAGCGAAUGGG
rnacentral:rRNA from 1 species